GGCCAGUUAGCUCAAUUGGCUAGAGCUUGGUGCUAAUAACACCAAGGUCAAGGGUUCAGAUCCCCUUAUUGGCCA